rnacentral:rRNA from 1 species
AGAGUUUGAUCCUGGCUCAGAUUGAACGCUGGCGGCAGGCCUAACACAUGCAAGUCGAGCGGUAGCACAGAGAGCUUGCUCUCGGGUGACGAGCGGCGGACGGGUGAGUAAUGUCUGGGAAACUGCCUGAUGGAGGGGGAUAACUACUGGAAACGGUAGCUAAUACCGCAUAACGUCGCAAGACCAAAGUGGGGGACCUUCGGGCCUCAUGCCAUCAGAUGUGCCCAGAUGGGAUUAGCUAGUAGGUGGGGUAACGGCUCACCUAGGCGACGAUCCCUAGCUGGUCUGAGAGGAUGACCAGCCACACUGGAACUGAGACACGGUCCAGACUCCUACGGGAGGCAGCAGUGGGGAAUAUUGCACAAUGGGCGCAAGCCUGAUGCAGCCAUGCCGCGUGUGUGAAGAAGGCCUUCGGGUUGUAAAGCACUUUCAGCGGGGAGGAAGGCGGUGAGGUUAAUAACCUCACCGAUUGACGUUACCCGCAGAAGAAGCACCGGCUAACUCCGUGCCAGCAGCCGCGGUAAUACGGAGGGUGCAAGCGUUAAUCGGAAUUACUGGGCGUAAAGCGCACGCAGGCGGUCUGUCAAGUCGGAUGUGAAAUCCCCGGGCUCAACCUGGGAACUGCAUUCGAAACUGGCAGGCUAGAGUCUUGUAGAGGGGGGUAGAAUUCCAGGUGUAGCGGUGAAAUGCGUAGAGAUCUGGAGGAAUACCGGUGGCGAAGGCGGCCCCCUGGACAAAGACUGACGCUCAGGUGCGAAAGCGUGGGGAGCAAACAGGAUUAGAUACCCUGGUAGUCCACGCUGUAAACGAUGUCGAUUUGGAGGUUGUGCCCUUGAGGCGUGGCUUCCGGAGCUAACGCGUUAAAUCGACCGCCUGGGGAGUACGGCCGCAAGGUUAAAACUCAAAUGAAUUGACGGGGGCCCGCACAAGCGGUGGAGCAUGUGGUUUAAUUCGAUGCAACGCGAAGAACCUUACCUGGUCUUGACAUCCACAGAACUUAGCAGAGAUGCUUUGGUGCCUUCGGGAACUGUGAGACAGGUGCUGCAUGGCUGUCGUCAGCUCGUGUUGUGAAAUGUUGGGUUAAGUCCCGCAACGAGCGCAACCCUUAUCCUUUGUUGCCAGCGGUUAGGCCGGGAACUCAAAGGAGACUGCCAGUGAUAAACUGGAGGAAGGUGGGGAUGACGUCAAGUCAUCAUGGCCCUUACGACCAGGGCUACACACGUGCUACAAUGGCAUAUACAAAGAGAAGCGACCUCGCGAGAGCAAGCGGACCUCAUAAAGUAUGUCGUAGUCCGGAUUGGAGUCUGCAACUCGACUCCAUGAAGUCGGAAUCGCUAGUAAUCGUAGAUCAGAAUGCUACGGUGAAUACGUUCCCGGGCCUUGUACACACCGCCCGUCACACCAUGGGAGUGGGUUGCA